rnacentral:rRNA from 1 species
GAUGAACGCUGGCGGCGUGCCUAACACAUGCAAGUCGAGCGAUCUUCUUCGGAAGGGAGCGGCGGACGGGUGAGUAACGCGUGGGUAACCUGCCCUGUACACACGGAUAACAUACCGAAAGGUAUGCUAAUACGGGAUAACAUAAGAAAGUCGCAUGGCUUUCUUAUCAAAGCUUUUGCGGUACAGGAUGGACCCGCGUCUGAUUAGCUAGUUGGUAAGGUAACGGCUUACCAAGGCGACGAUCAGUAGCCGACCUGAGAGGGUGAUCGGCCACAUUGGAACUGAGACACGGUCCAAACUCCUACGGGAGGCAGCAGUGGGGAAUAUUGCACAAUGGGCGAAAGCCUGAUGCAGCAACGCCGCGUGAGCGAUGAAGGCCUUCGGGUCGUAAAGCUCUGUCCUCAAGGAAGAUAAUGACGGUACUUGAGGAGGAAGCCCCGGCUAACUACGUGCCAGCAGCCGCGGUAAUACGUAGGGGGCUAGCGUUAUCCGGAAUUACUGGGCGUAAAGGGUGCGUAGGCGGUCUUUCAAGUCAGAAGUGAAAGGCUACGGCUCAACCGUAGUAAGCUUUUGAAACUGUAAGACUUGAGUGCAGGAGAGGAGAGUGGAAUUCCUAGUGUAGCGGUGAAAUGCGUAGAUAUUAGGAGGAACACCAGUUGCGAAGGCGGCUCUCUGGACUGU